rnacentral:piRNA from 1 species
UAGGACUGCGUAGAUAGUAUCAGGGCUGU